GGACAGGAACUUGAUAGGAACUUCUAUAAAUAACAAAGGCCAGCACCUCCACUACCGAUUCGUUCCUUUUAACCUCUCUUUUAGUUCUCUCUCCGAUGGAUCCUGGUAGCUGGUGUUCGAGGGAAUAUUUGGUUAUCAGCAUUUGAUCUUCAUUUUCAGCAUCUUAAUUCUCUUCCCCGAGCCCAUUGAUGGAACCUUUUUGAUGUCAUUUUGCUUGGCUUGAUACGAUGUGAUCGACUCCCAGUUGCCUGUUCCACAAAUCUCAAGUGUUCGCUGUCAUCACGUCUCCAAUCGGCAGUCUCCAGUGUUGCUGCUGCCAUUGUCAUUGUCACGCCAAUCAAUUUAUUGUAAUGGUAGAUUAUGUUUAUCCCAAAUGUUCCUAACAGUCUGUUCUUAGAGAAAUAAAUCAUGAAGUUAAUUUAUAGUUGAUCGUCAAAUGACGAGGGUGAGGGUGGGAGAGAUUUUUUUUCUUUGAAGAC